AUCCAGCUGACGAGUCUCAAAUAGGACGAGACGCACGUAAUGGAU
rfam:Schistosoma margrebowiei strain Zambia genome assembly, scaffold: SMRZ_contig0000199